rnacentral:rRNA from 1 species
CUACGGGGGGCAGCAGUGGGGAAUAUUGCACAAUGGGCGCAAGCCUGAUGCAGCCAUGCCGCGUGUAUGAAGAAGGCCUUCGGGUUGUGAAGUACUUUCAGUAAGGAGGAAGGCAGUUGCGUUAAUAGCGUAAUUGUUUGACGUUACUUACAGAAGAAGCACCGGCUAACUCCGUGCCAGCAGCCGCGGUAAUACGGAGGGUGCGAGCGUUAACCGGAAUUACUGGGCGUAAAGCGCAUGCAGGUGGUCUGUUAAGUCAGAUGUGAAAGCCCCGGGCUCAACCCGGGAUGGUCAUUUGAAACUGGCAGGCUAGAGUACUGUAGAGGGGGGUAGAAUUUCAGGUGUAGCGGUGAAAUGCGUAGAGAUCUGAAGGAAUACCGGUGGCGAAGGCGGCCCCCUGGACAGAUACUGACACUCAGAUGCGAAAGCGUGGGGAGCAAACAGGAUUAGAUACCCCCGUAGUC